GACGAACGCUGGCGGCGUGCCUAAUACAUGCAAGUCGAACGCUGAAGGAGGAGCUUGCUUCUCUGGAUGAGUUGCGAACGGGUGAGUAACGCGUAGGUAACCUGCCUGGUAGCGGGGGAUAACUAUUGGAAACGAUAGCUAAUACCGCAUAAGAGUAGAUGUUGCAUGACAUUUGCUUAAAAGGUGCAAUUGCAUCACUACCAGAUGGACCUGCGUUAUAUUAGCUAGUUGGUGAGGUAACGGCUCACCAAGGCGACGAUACAUAGCCGACCUGAGAGGGUGAUCGGCCACACUGGGACUGAGACACGGCCCAGACUCCUACGGGAGGCAGCAGUAGGGAAUCUUCGGCAAUGGACGGAAGUCUGACCGAGCAACGCCGCGUGAGUGAAGAAGGUUUUCGGAUCGUAAAGCUCUGUUGUAAGAGAAGAACGAGUGUGAGAGUGGAAAGUUCACACUGUGACGGUAUCUUACCAGAAAGGGACGGCUAACUACGUG
rnacentral:rRNA from 1 species